UAUAAAUGAAGAGGGAGACGAUGAUAAGGAUUGAAAAACACUAAGAAAGUUGGGUUGACCAGAUUUGGGGUGUGAAAGAAUGUGGAAGUUAAGGGAGAAGAAAUGUCAGUGUCAUUCCUAAAGAUAGUGCACUGGCUGGAGGGAUGGUGUGUGACACUAUCCAGAGGGACUGACAAAGUAAUAAUCAUACAGUCAAAGGAAGAAUCUACCUUCUCAUGCAUGAUAUCAAAUCAUCUUAGAGUCACUUUUGCAUACUGAGGAGCCUAAACCAGAAGUGAAAAGGUUUUAUUCCCCACCCCCCAACCCCUCAACCCAAAUGCAGUGAUGCUCUACUGCAGUGAUUUCCACUCCUGGCUGUGAUUCUUCAAUGUACAGCUUCUGGGCUCUGCCCCCAGAGAUUCUGAUUCAGUGGUCUUGUGUGUGUUCGUGGCUUCUGCAUUUAUACACAAGGUGAUAGGAGUGCACAGCUAGGACGGAAGAAUAGAAACAGGAGAUACAGAGUUCACUGUCAAUGUUCUAUCAACCCAAGCCAUGUUUUCAAAGCCUAUUCCCUAUAAAAUGCCCUAGGGUAUUCUAAGAAAGUAAGUUCUGCUAAUUUACACCUGUCUUUUUGAUUACUGUGUGGCUGAGUUAAACCACUUUUCAUUUUCUUUUUCCCCAGUCUCUGGGCCUGGAUUCCCUUGGUCCUUCUGGGUUAGAGCAUCACUGGUGGGGAGGAUAGCAGAUUGACCAUUCAUCAAUUUCUUUAGGACUGGCACAGAAGCUAGGGGCAUCUCUUUUGGCCAUCUCCAUACCCGAGAGCAAGUGAACACCCAUAAUUAUACUUUUAUUAAAGCUCUUAAAAAUUUCUGUUCUGUUCACAAAAUAGGUAUUAUUGUGCCUAUUUUAUGGAUGAGAAAACUGAGCCUGAGAGAGUUCAGUAGCUGUCCCAAGGUAAUCCAACAAUGAAAUGGGAGGCCAUAUUUACAUCUGAGCUUCCUUCCUUCCUCCCGUCUCCUUCAUUUCCCUUCACUUCCCUUCCCUUGCUUCUCUUCCUUUCCUCUUCUUGCCACACCAUCCGUCUGCUUCUUGCACCAUAUUAGAAGAUUUCUGAAGAGAGGGCUCAUAUAUUCAGUUAUAUUUUUCUUUCAUACCUACACCAUACUUUGCACAUAGUAGAUAUUUAUCAAAUGUAUAGUAAAUAAGGAAAUAACUCCUUUUCUUUUCUUAAUGAUCACAUUGAAUAUUUACUAACUAAAGUGAAAAUCCCAAGAGCACAAGGAUGUUCUCGUAUCCUUCUUGGUUUUACCAGUGUGUGUACUUGAAAAAUUGUACAAUUAAUAUCAAAUGUUCAGAAAUACUUGUGAGAUGAGAAUAAAAAGAAUAUCUGGCACAAAAAACCAGACAUCAGGUCCUAUUCCCCCAUUAAAGCCUUACUCCAAUGAGCUAUUGGCUUAAUGCAAACACGAAGUGGGGUCUGGGAUCCAUGCCUGCCUGAGUGCUGGCAAUUGCCAAGACUCUCAUGGUUUCCUUUUGUGCGCUGAAGCUAUCAGAAAUUGUAGUUAUAGAAGUCAUCCCCUGUUCAAAGGUUGUCUGCAUCACAGCCAAGUAUUGCUCUCUCCUGAAUCUAUUCUGGCUACACAAAGUCUUGCUCUGGCCUCAGAGUGCAUGCUUGGUGCCUACAAGGAAAAGGGUGGACCAUGACAGGAGACUGAAUCUUGCUCUCUGCCCAGGGCACAGCAUGGAGCUUUUGACCUGGACUUAGCUAAAGCCCAUGCCAGCCUGAGUGGCAUCAUUCUGGGUACAGACCUUGAGUUACCACUUUCAUAGCCAUACCAAUCCCAGCUCAUUGUGCAAAGGUUGCUUGUGAAAAAUAAUUCAAUAUUAAGCACAUGGGUCUAUCUCAAUUGUAGUUCUACCAAUCUUCGUAAGGCACUUCCAUCAAUAAAAUGUGACCCAACUAUGCUCUUAAAAACACUUUAGGCAUUAACACCCUUUUAGAAUGGAUCUAGCCCUUGAGAUUUUCUUAGGUGGGCUCCAUCUUUCUCAUUAGCUUUCGUUAUGUAUAAUAUAUAUGCAAAUGCCUUUGCCAUAGUCUACCAAGAAUUAUUCAGGUCCCUUAUCUUAGACCCUAAAAACUAUGAGUUAUAAAUGGACAAAGGAGUACAACAAUAUAUUGCAAAAUGAUGGAUUUCUAUUAUCAUUAGUAUUUUGAUAAAAUAGAUAAUAUUUUGUUUAUGUGUUUAUGUGUGUAUGUAUGUAUUUAUUUCUUUUUAGAGAUGAUGUCUUGCUACAUUGUCCAGGCUGGACUUCAACUUCUGGGCUCAAGCAGUUCUCCUGCCUUAGCUUCCUGAGCAGCUAGUACUACAGGCACGAGCAACCAUGCCCAGGUAAGGUAUGUAAUACUAAAUAUGUAUUUCAAGAGCAAAUAUUGAAUGUGCACUCUGAGAUUAUAUUAUUUGGGAUUGAAUCCUCAGUCUGCCAUGUAUUAGCUUAGUAUUUCUCAACCUCAGCAGGACUGACAUUUUGGGCCACUUAGUUCUAUGUUGAAGGGGAGAGGGGCCUGCCUUACACACAGUAGGAUAUAUGGUAGGAUCUUGGGUUUCUACCUUCUAAAUGAGAAUAGCACCUGCCCAGUUACAACAAUUCACAAUGCCUUCAGACAUUACUAAAUAACUCCUGGCUUGGAGUGGGGUGGGGGUAGCGGGUGAAAAGGGUACGAUUGCCCAGAUUAGAGAGCCACUGCAUGAGGUGAUGACCUUGGGAAGGUUUAGAUCCUUCUGGGAUGCUAUUCUUUUUACCUGUAAAUUGUGUAUAAUAAAACCCAACUUACACUAUUGGAUGUAAGCACAGAAAUUCAUUAGCAUACACUUGGUAUAGGAAAAAGCACAAAAAAUAUUACUUAUUUAUCAGACAUUUACUAUUGUUUUAUGAAAGAUACAUACUGUAGCUAGGUAAUACAGGUCUAUGUGUGUAUGUAUCUGAAACUGAAAUAAAGACCUUAAGUGGUUUUUCCUAAAUUUAUGUAGGAAGUUUGAAUCACAGUCAGAUUUAGAACAAUCAGAUCUAGAUUUUCAGCAGGAAACAAAGCCAUAAAGUGGAUGUGACUUUCACGGCAAAAAGUUUCUUUUGCCUCUGAAAGCACCUCCCAGAAAGGACCCAGUGGGAGUGAAAGGAUGAUGUUGACCAUAACCCUGUUGCUUUGAUUUGGGGAAAACUCAUAAAACAUGAAUUUCCUGGUUUUGGUAGUCCCUCAGUACCCAAUAAUUUAGAAACUGUUCCUUUUUCCCCAAAGAGUAAGUGGUGCACUCAUAUUAAAAAAAAAAAAAAAAAAAGAAGAAGAAGAAAAAAGAAAAGAAGAAAAAAAUAAUUCAAAUCUCAGAGGCAAAUUAAGUUCAGUGGUGAAACCUUAGAAGACAUAGUAUUGUUUUUCUUAAGACCAUGCAGUGAGAAAAUAAUUAGUUCCUGUUUAAGAAUCAAUUACUAUUAAUACAUUAGCCUUACCCUUGAUUGAUUAUAAUAGUAUUACAUUUAUUUUUAUUGUUAUUAAUGCCAUCAUAAAGCUCAUGCUGGGGAAACAGAAAAAUAAUUUCCAGAGGGUUAUUCUUUAGUCUUAUAGGGAGAAUAAUUUACUUAGGUGAUCUGGAUUAUUGCUAGUGUGUCAUCAGGCUCUGUCUGUGAGACAUAAAGUAGGGUAAACCUGAAAAUGAAGUUUUACCUCCGGCUUGUAGCUAGACAAAACCAGAGAAUCCAGAAAUCUGCAAGAAACAGAUGCUGGUUGAAUAACAGACACUGGGAGGGCAGAACAGGUAACCUUGAUUGAAGUUACAGCCAGGCAUGCUUCAUUUCAAUUAAAAGGUUUCAAUAAUUUCCAUUGUUCAACAAUGGUAGUAGGGUAGCCAACACCCUGCUUGUUUACUCAGGACUCAGGGCAUCCCUAGGAUGUGGGAUUUUCAGCCUUAAAACCAGAAAAGUUCUGGGGAAGUCAGGCCACACUGGCUACCAUAACAACAGAUUGAGAAAGCUUUUAAAGUAGUGAGUGCUCCCUCACUAGAGGUGUUCAAGCAGAGGCUGACUGAUCAGUUCUCAGGGAUGUGUCAGAGCAGUCUUUGUUUCAAUGAAAGAGAGUGAGCUCAACAACUUCUGCAGGAGCCAUCCAAGUCUGAGACACUGAGAGCGUCUACAAAGAAAAGUGAUCUGUGCUAGAUCCAGCCUUAUUGCUAAAUCCUCUGGAUUUAUAAAUCCUUUCAUAUUUAGAACUCAAGCGAAUUGAGUUUUCCAAGAAGCGCCUUAAUCCCUCAGAGAAAUUUCCGCAAAAAAUCAUCAAUCACGAAAAUAUUUUAUACAGAGGCAGACAUUCAGAAUAUUACAAUGAUAAAAGCAAAGGAUUUGGAAUCAAAAGACUCAUGCUUUAAUUCUAAGUCUAGCACUCACUAGAUUUGGACAAUUUGUUUAAUCUCCCUGAUCAUUGAACUUCUCACCUCUGAAAUGAAGAUAAUAAUGUUUACCCUGCCUGUCUCUUGGGGCUGUUGGAAGGACCAUACAAGCUAGUGUAUGUCAAAGCAUUGUGAACUGCAAAGCACACUCAUGUUAAUUGCAGAUUUUUUUUGACAUGAUUCUGCCUAUCAUUCUAAGGUGUUGACAAAGCUUGUAUUGUGCUCAUAAGCCAAAUAGGUGUGUACAAGUUGUAUUACGUAAAAUAGGCUAAACUAUGGCACCAAAAUAAUGACAAAAUAUAAAACAGAUCAAUCCCAGUGCAGGUAUUUCUGGUUGGCAUUGAUUGUUUAUUGCAGUAAUUCAUAGGCUCAAAGAUUGUCUAUGAAUUACUGUGUCUUUGAAACUUUCUAGUUUUUGGCUCUGACAUUCCCUACAGUUUCACUGCUCUCAUCACUGCUGGUAGGACAGUGAAAAGAAAAUAUGGAAAUGGAAUAUUUCUCAAAAGCUGUAUGCAGAAAUGAUACCUAUAAGUUCACUGACAUCCGUUGGCUAGAAUUCAGCCACCUUGCUAAACCAUACAAGGGAAGAAUCUGUCCUAAUAUGUGUUCGGAACUGUUGGAAGGACCACGGGAAGUAGGACACAUCAAAAUAUUUUGAGCUGUAAUGUUCAUGCACAUAAGCUUUAGGUUCAUUCAUUGUGACUCUUCCUACUAUCCUGGGAAGCUGAAUAUAGCUUUUAAUUUUAAUGAACAGUCAUCAGUUUCUGCUUUAAAAUUUCCAUGGCUGUACCACAUUUGCAGCUAUUGCUUAACAAGUUCUCAUGUUUAGAUUUAGUUCCUGGUACCAAUGUAGGCCCAUACACAAACAUGCUAUAAGCAACUGGGAAAUGCCUAGAUGAGACUGAGAAUAAAUAUUAAUUUCUAGAUCUCUGGUGUCUUUCAAUUAAUUAGUUCUGCAUUUACAGAGUACCUACCAUGUGUCAGGCAUGUUGCUGGUAUUGGAUACUCCAAAAUGGGCAAACCAUGGUACCUGUUCUCAAGAAGCUCACGGGCAUUGUUUCAUUUACUUUGCUUUCCCCAGGGAAAAAUUUUUCUUUCUCCCAUAUUGCCCACUAUGCAUAAAUAUUUAAACUUUUCACUCAAACUUGGGGAAGAAGGGUUUAACUUCAUCUUACAAAACCAGCCCAUGUUUCUCUUCCAUCAUAUUUCUUAGUCCUUCUCUACCCAAUGAAUAUCUGUUGCUUUAAGAAAAAAAGUUUCAGCCAGGCGCAGUGGCUCACGCCUGUAAUCCCAGCACUUUGGGAGGCCGAGGCGGGUGGAUCACGACGUCAGGAGAUUGAGAACAUCCUGGCUAACAUGGUGAAACCCCGUCUCUACUAAAAACACAAAAAAUUAGCCGGGCGUGGUGGCGGGCGCCUAUAGUACCAGCUACUCAGGAGGCUGAGACAGGAGAAUGGCGUGAACUUGGUAGGCGGAGCUUGCAGUGAACGGAGAUGGCACCACUGCACUGCAGCCUGGGCGACAGAGCGAGACUCCGUCUUAAAAAAAAAAAAAGUUUCAGUUCAGUGACAGGUACAAAGCAAUAUCUACAAGAAAUGCUCAGGAGAUAGCAAUUGUGAGUUAGGGUGUAAGGCUUCUUUCCACCUUCCAGUAUCAACUGGGAUGCUUAGCUCACCGCUAAAGAAACCUAUUUUCUCAACUUACCCAGGAAGUAAGCAAAAACUGAUAUUUUCUCUAAAGAGGAGCCCAAAGUAGGGCUUGGACAAUUCACUGGUGCAACGUUGACAUCAAGGAAGAAAGAUGUUUGUGUCAACAUUGUCACCCCGUAUGUUCCUUUUGAGUCACAGAUGACUUCUUUAAUUCUAGGUGGCUAGACAGAAUACCUAAGAGAAGAAGAAAGGCCAUCUCAUCACAGCUGUGCCAUUAUCGGAGCAGGAAAAUUCUCUACAGAAGCCCCCUUUCACAUUUCUUCUUUGGCCAUGAUGGCGUCAUAUUCCUAAUCAAUAUUGCAAGGGGGAUGGAAUUCCUAUGACUGAUCUAGUUAAAUACAAGGCUGGGUGUAGGAGAGUAUAUUUUCCAAACAAAAUAUUUCUCCUAACAAGAAAAAAUGAUGGUAUUUACCUUUGGUUUAGAAAAUAGCACUGUUGGUUAUACCAUCAAUACCCAGUUUCGUCCUUGAGGGUCUCUUUACCUACUCUGGCUUUAUUUUCUACUGCUUUCCUGUAUUAUGGUUUGGCGAUUCUCUCAUUUCUCUUUUUCACACUAUUUACCUUCUAUCUCCUUGCUAUACUUCCUGCCUUGACCUCUUUAGACUUGGCUGUCUCACUUUACUGGUACAUAAAAGCAAGCCACAGAAAGUGUUCAGAGACUGCACAUCACAUACUCUGCUGAGACAGAUAGGAUUGUGGCAUUUGCGAAGAAUACUGAGUCACAUGGAUGUGAAAGGUGAUAGAACAUUGCCUUCAAUAAAACAAGCUCUGAGUUCUGCGGGUAAAAUUCCUCAUUCAGGAGCUUUAACAUUUCCCUUUUGACAUACUCCACCACAGAAUACUCAUAAAUGAAAUCUUAAUUCUACAGUUGAGAAUUGGUGUUUUUCCUGGGAGUUCCACAGCAUUGCAGCAAGGGCCUCCAAAGGAAUAGGUGGAUUUGAGCAGGAGGCCUGGAGCAUUCCCCACAUAUUCAAUCCUGUCUCAUGUUUUACCCAGAAUAUCUCUGCUUUAUCUGUCUCAUAUAUAUAUAUAUGUCUAAUUAUAUGUAUAUAAUUAGACUACCACAUAGUACUUCUUUUGAACAAAAAACGACUCUUAAAGACAACCAUUUAGGAGUUCCUCAUUCUUUUUGGCCUAAACCUGUUUGUACUAUAUCUUAUUUUCUCACUCGCAAACUCUUGUCUCCAUAGGCUAUCUUUGAUCUUACCUUCAGACAGACUCUUAAAAAUUUAAUACAUGUUCUGAUUCUGCCUCUUGGCUCUUCACAUAGGAUUUCUCUUAGUAGGCAAUCGUCCUCCUCUCCCUACCAUCUCCCAAAGGCCAAAUGUCUUCCGUUAUCUAUAAUAAGAACCUACAGAGGCCGGGCAUCGUGGCUUAUACUUGUAAUCCCAGCAGUUCGGGAGGCCAGGGUGGGUGGAUCACUUGAGGUCAGGAGUUCGAGACCAGCCUGGCCAACAUGGCAAAACCCUGUCUCUACUAAAAAUACAAAAAAAUUAGCCAGGUGUGGUGGUGCACACCUGUGAUCCCACCUACUUGGGAGGCUGAGGCAUGAGAAUUGCUUAAACCUGGGAGGCAGAGGUUGUAGUGAGCUGAGAUCGUGCCACUGCACUCCAGCCUGGGCGACAGAGUGAGACUCUGCCUCAAAAAAAAAAAAAAAAAAAAAAAGAACCUAAAGCUUUGAUUUUCAGCUCAGCUCUUUUUUUCCACACCUUAGCUAGUUCCUGGUGACAACUGUUCCACUGUCCUCUGUAGCAUGGAGGAAGGAUUUGAACACUGACAGAAUUUUUCUAGACUGAUUCUUGAAGCUCCCUUGAAAACAAUUCUGAGGGUCCCUUAAAUCUUUGUUAACAGCUCACAGCAAUUCUUCCUUCCAUCUCAGUUGUGAUUCUCCCUCUGCCUCAAGCUGUCUUUUACUGGGAGAAUUUUUACUUUAAAAAACCUAUACUUAUAUUUCAAAGGCCAAAUACAGUUUUUUUACUGACUGAAAUCUCUACUAUGUCUACUUUUGGCUCUUUAAAUAUGGUAAAUAUCUUGCUUCCAGAAUCUGUGGAAUUUUUGUCUCUUGAGACAUGUGAAAUUGAACUGGACUUGGUCUUCAAAAAGAUGAUUGUUGUGUUGGUAAGAGGAUGGAAGGGAUGACCUGGAAGGUCUACUCCAGCUCUGAUUCUGAUGAUGUGAUUCUAACCAGAUGGGGCCAAUGGCAUAUUAGACGUCUAUUGAUGCUACCUCUGUGCUUUUCAUCCUGGGUUUAUUCUUCUGGUAACUGUAUAUUUUUCUUGGCCAGCCUCUCCAUUUGUGAUGCACAGCAUGUGCGUCACAAAAGCUCUUUAUGUCCCACAUGGAGGAGGCUGCAAGGAUCUUGUGAAGGAACUGAGCAAAUCAGAUGUCUGCAUCUACAUUUUCGUUUUCUUAUGGAAACCCUGCGAUCCUUCACAGAUUGCGGCUUUUAGUGUAUAUUAUUUAUUUGAAUAUGGCCAAAGACAUGACUUCUUAAUGUUAUGGUGUCAUGUCUGUGUCUGAAUAAAAAUAAUAAACCAUAACACAAUAUCACACCAUGUAUGAUUUUUCCUUAAUAAGAGCACAAGGUAGUUAUUAAACAGUAAUUUAAAGACAGUUGGACAGUCAUUAGAUAAAUAUAACUUGUUUGGAGACCAGAUCUUUUAUGACUUAAGCAAUUAUAUUUUAGGCAUUACAUAUUCUUGGAAAAAUGUGUACUUCUAUAUAGUUUUUUUUUUAAUUCAUCUGCUCAUGCUACAUGGGGAAAAAAGUGAAAAAGAAGAUGAAAUCUAUUGGUGAUAUUAGCUGAGGGAUUUUUUGUAGCAUAUUGUGUAGGUCAUAACUACAUAUCAUUGUGUUUCAUCAUGGACCCAGCCAUAAACAGAAAAUGAAGGCUGGCUCUAGAGGUGAAAGCAUUUGUGCUUAGAGAGAACUGUGCCAGUUAUUAUGGGACAUUGCUUACGGUAAGAAAAAUCUUAUCUCUCCUAUUUAUUUUCCACGUUGAAAAGCAACCCAUGGCACUCACUUGUCUGGCCAUCUUCUUGUGCUAGAACUUCCUGCCUCACCAUUUAAUAUAGGAUAAAAUUAAAAUUUCUUACACGAACACAUCAUGUUUUCCUUCAUUUUACCUCAAUUUUUUUUUCUAGUCUCAUUAUAUCUUGAUAUUUCUCCCUAAAUAGUAAGCUAAGAAACCUAAAACUGUUUGCCAUUCCAAAACACUUUCUAGCACUGGUCUACCUUUUUUUUUUUUUCUUUGGUUUCUUACCCCAGUCAUCUGCUUUUAGGCAACUCCUAUUCAUUCUUUGAAACAUAACCUAAAUGCCCUUCUGUUUCAUUCAAAGCAUUCAUCAGACAUCUUGUAUGUGCUGGAUGCUAGGGGUGUCCUUGCCCUCAUAGAGCUAGUUUAAUCAGGUAGAAAAUACAGGAGACGUAAUAAGCAACUGCAGCACAGCAUGCACUUUAUGAUGAGUUAUCUAUGCUGCUCUGAGAUGGCAUGAAUGUAACAUGGUUUUAUAAAAUUCUUUCUUGAUUUAGUUUUGAAGUCCCCGCUGGAGGCUGGUCAGUUUCUUUUCUUGAACAGCUAAUUAACUCCAUACCCCCAACCACUUCCUUAUCAGGCUUUCACAUGCCUGAACACUAUCCACCAGCCUAAUCGCCCCAGGGCCAGGUACCAGACAAUCAGGGAUGACCCCAUGCCUCAGAGCCUACUGAAGGUAUUCAGACUCGCUAAUUCUGAGCCCGUGUACUCUGUAUUCCCUGUUUCUUCCCAUGGAAACCACCAUAAAGAUACUUGCCCAUGAUUUUCCUUUCUCCCUCUGCUUUGACCCUGAGUGGCAUGUAGUACUCUUACCCAAAUCCUGUAAUGUACACAGGAAGAGUAGUCAAGAGAUCACAACCUUCUUUUUAAACUUAUCAUCACUGGCCUGAAUCCUUGAUUCAUUUUUCUUGUGUUGUCUGCCAUAUUACAAACUCCUUUGGGCAGAGACUUUAUUAUUUAUCUUUAUGCUCUGGGACCUCACAGAGCCUGGCAUACAGUACAUGUUCAAUAAAUAUCAAAUAGUAAUAAGGUAAUAGAAUAAGCGAAUAAAUGAAUACCACGAAAUGGCACUAUUUUUUUGGUCUUGUCUUUUUGAGAGUUGCCUUUUAUCCAAUUCUGCACCAUGUUGAUUGUCUCAAAUACAUGAAAUUUAAUAUAAUACACUCUUUUUUUCAAGUUUAAAUCAUUUCCACAAGACCAGUAAUUACUUUGUAAGAAUAAUGCCCAAAUAUUCUGACCUUUCCUCUCUAUUCUGAAAGUGAAAAUUAUCAGUGAAUGAAUUAAGAAUUCAUUGCAUGCUUUUCUCUUAAAUGAAUGAGAUUUCUAGCAGAUGUUUGAACUGUUAACAGUUUUUGCCACGACCCUAUCAAACCUGACUGCAAGAAGCCUCUGAGAAAUUUCUCACCCAUUUCUUUUCUCUGGCUGGGGGUUGCAGUAUGCUCUCACAGUUUUUCACUUCACUGUGGCUUGUAUCUUUCCAACAUAAUUUUAUGUCCAACAAUGACAUGAACUUCCUUGGAAGUACUGAUGUCUAUUGCUGGAUGUCUGAAGCAGCAGUGGUUCACUUCUAUCAGGAUAACUUUCAUCAGCAGGCAGAUUAAAAUAACACUUUUAAAAUGUUUUUUUUUUUCUAUAUAUAAAACUUAAGCAAUUCUCCACACUUUGAGGGAGGAUGAACUGUUCUCAAAAUGCUGUUAGUCAGAAGCUGAAUAAGACCCCAUACUGGCAUCAGGAAAAUAUUUAAAUGAUUCCCUUCUAGUUAUUUUAGCAAUAAUGGAAUUCAGCUCAGGAAGUUUAUGUUAAAUGUAAUCUCACUGGAGUUUUCAGUGAGCUUUUCACCUUGCCUGAUGGAUGAUAAAGAGUCAAGGCCUCUUUCAGCGGAACUGUACUCUUUUUUUAUUACCCUCUCUCCUAUUCUGACUAAAGAGCACAUUUGAUAUAAAUGGAGAGUUUCAUUUAAACAGAUCACAAUCCAAUUUGAAUUCUUCUUAUCAGAUUGGACUACUCAAAAAUGGUGCAGCAAGAGAUUCAAACCUUGCUUGCUCACAAGGUUAAUAUUUACAAAUAUUGACUUCUGUUGAGCCCUUUGGAACUUAAAAAAUAGUCUCUUGAUUUCUCAGUGAUAACACAGGAGGGAUUUUUGUUUUGUUUUUUUAGUUGGGCAGUGCACAAUUUUAUAUUUUUACUCUGAAAGCUGGUUUGCAAGGAGGUGCAUAAAUAUUAUUUAUCAAAUUACUAGCAUUUUUUGCAAUGCAACUUAUGUUUUUAUAAUGACACCAGAUUAAGAAGAGUGAAAGAAUUGAGCUGCAAAUCUAAGCUUUGCACUCCCAAUCUUAUGUUGGAAUAAUAAAUUCAGUUCAGCCAUAACUUACUGAAUAUGUCUAAUAUUUCUGAAAAUGUCUGAGAUAUUACUGGAUAGGUCAUAGAAGAAAUAUGGAGAAAUGGAAACUAGAAUGAUCUGUGUGAUUCUAGUGCUGCAACUCCUGAAACCUGAAGUCUGUGACUCACCAGUUCUAAGCCCCAGAGUCCUGAUGGGGCACCUCAAGGAGACACUUCAGCCACCUAAGUCAGCUGGACCACCCCAUGACACAGUCAUGGAGGUUCCAGUCUGAAUUCAGAGUCAAUGAUAAGGGAGGCUUCCGUGGCAGAGUGAAAAGCACACACCUGAGAAAUGAAAAGAAAUGGCAAAGGUCACACGUCUCAGGAUGAAUUGCACUGUGUGUGACACCCUAGCUGAAAUCCUAUCCCACAGGACCAUCAGGUCCACGAGAGAAGAGGUGUGCUCAGGAGGGCUGACUGGAAGUCUGAAGACAGCAUGGCAUACAACCAAUGGGUGGAGAGCAGGAGCCAGAGAUGACAUAUGGGAUGAGGCCUUCAUUAAAGUCCAUGGGUAUUAUCCAUCAGGCUUUCCUGUAGGGAUUGUGGAUUGGUCAAUUUAAAGAAAACACUUGUGAACAGGAGUACUUAUCUACAUGAUUCUGACAUUGAUCAUUGAGUUUUAUCAUGGACAGUAGCUGUGGGAUUUUAGGCUAGUGAGAUAGGAAUAAGCAGGCCAUAUUGCAAACAACAACAGGGGCAAGAAAAGUUUUAACUAGUCCAAAGGUGAAGGAAUAUAAACAGGUUUCCAACAGUGGAUACCAGGCCUAAAAAUGGAUGCCAAGGCAACAACUAUAUUAAACAACUUUAUGACACAUACAUUUGUCAUAUAAAUAGUCAGUCCUCUUGUAUGUAGAGAAAAAGAAUAAUGAUUAAUAUGUAACAUGUUCAGAUUUUUGCCUAAUGGAUCUGCUUUUAAGUGAAGAGGUUACAUAUUCUAAUCUGCUCUAUAAGCCACAGUCUCUGUACUUGCUAACUAUUAUUUCACCUUUAUAAUGGCCCUCUGAGGUCAGUUGUAUCGUUUUUUUUUAACAGUUAAGAAAAUGGAAACUGAGGCUGCAAGAUGUAAAGUGAUUCCAAAGAUUAGUGAAAUGCACAACUUUUCCACUAUAUGAGGCUGGCCUAAAGAAUUCCUCAAAAGAUGUGGAGUAGGAGUAGCUUUGCAUUUAUUAUGAAGUCCCACAGGCACAAAGUGCCCUCUAAAGGCAUGAUUUUUUUUUCCUGACAAUUUUUAUUGGGUCAGGACAUAAUAACAUGACAUUUUUAUGGGACUUUCAUCUCAGAAUCCCAAAGCAAUCCCAAAGCACUUAGAACACAUUAUUUAGCUCUCACAACUUAAAAGGUAGGUAGCAAAUUAUUUUGAUAGGAAAUUAACUAUAAUAAGGCUGGCAACAACAGCAUAACAAGUGCUAGUGAAUUGCCUUAAAGGAAUGCAAAGGAUUCAUAUACAUUUCCUAGGUUAGAGGAGAGGCUACUUAUUAAAGGAAAGUGGAGUGGGAACAAGAUUUGAGAAGAUUUAGGAUCUCUUUCCAUGGGUGGAUGUCUUAGAGGUAGCAAUGUUUCUUGUGCUGUGAUUAGUGAGGUUGACUAUUAACUCUCAACAAACAUAUGGUCAUGUCUUCAAAAAUAAUUUUUUUGAAAAUAUAGCUAAAGAGUAGAGUUAUGGACAUCAUUCAGUUCAACAUUUAUUUUACACCACUAUAUAAAGCUUGUGGGAUGGAUAAGAUUUGGCUAUUUUUUAAAACAUUAUUUCUUGUCUACUCCUAUGCAUGGCAUCUGAGUAGAAAAUGCUGAAAUGAGUUUUUCCUAUGCCAAUAUUCCAAGAUAUCUCUUUUCUACUGUAAUGAUAGCAAUAUUUAUUGAAAGGCACAUUUGUCUUUUCACUUCCCUCUUUACUGAAGCCUUGAGAAUAAUUCCCAAAUAGAAUCAUAGCGUUCCAUUAAUCUGAGAAACUCUUAUGAUUACUCUAUUAUAAAGUAGUAACUGGGUUAUCCCCUGAAUAAUUAAGAAUCAUUAACUUAGUCCAGGUCAUUAAAGAUGAUCUGAUGUGGAAGACAGGUGAAUUUACUCAAGUAAAACAGAAACACACAGAGAUAAGUGGCUACCAAAGUUCCCACAGCUAAAUGCUGGUGGAGAUGGGAUUCACCCUUUGAUCUCUGACUCAAAUCUGGUGCUCUUUCUCAUUCAUCCCACUGAUAAAGAAAAAUGGUUUUGAUUUUACUUUCUUUUUGCCAAGGGCUUAUGCAAUUAACUUAUUGUGUACAAUUGAUAGGGACAGGGGGCAGAGAAAUUCUAGGCAGAAAAAGGCAGGUCCCCAGCAAAACCCCACGCUGAAGCUGGAAAGCCUGAAACCAUGGCCCAAAGUGAGAACCUAUGUCUCUGUUUUCCUAUUUGAAUGUUGUCUUUUCCUAAUCCACCCAUGGCUCUCCUCCACCUUAUCCUGUGCCUAUAAAAACCCCAGACUCAGCCAGCAGAUGAGACUAUGGCUGGACAUCAGAGAGAAGCAGCUUGACUUCAGAGGGACAGCUAGACCAUAUAACUUUGGAGAACAAUCUGGCUGGAUAUGGCUGGACUUCAGGGAAAGAUUACCUAUCCACCCCAUGCAUUUUUGAGCUCCCCUUCCCACUGACAGCCACUUUCAUUGGCAAUAAAAUCCCCCUCAUUUACCAUC